UACGGGAGGGUCAAGUGUUAUUCAACGUAACUGGGCGUAAAAGUGCGUAGCUGGAAUAUUACGUUUUAUUUAAAAGACUUAAGUUGCCUUAUGGACUAGAUAAAAAACUAAUAUUCUUGAGUUUAUGAGGAGUAAUUUGCACUUUUAAUAGAGAUGUAAAAUGCCAUGACAUUAAAGAGACAACCGAUAGUUAAGACCAAUUACUAUUAUAAACUGACAGUGAGGCACGAAAGUAUAGUUUUCGAAAAGG
rnacentral:rRNA from 1 species